GAGCUGUGAUGAAUACUGCGCAACCUGUGAUGGUUGGGUCCAUCACCAUCGUCUGAUCUUCAGAUGAAAACACGCGCAUCUGAGCUC